AUUGAACGCUGGCGGUAUGCUUAACACAUGCAAGUCGAACGGCAGCAUGGUCUAGCUUGCCAGACUGAUGGCGAGUGGCGGACGGGUGAGUAACGCGUAGGAAUAUGCCUUGAAGAGUGGGACAACUUGGGGAAACUCAAGCUAAUACCGCAUGUACUCGAGAGAGUAAAGCUGGGGACCUUUAGGCCUGGCGCUUUAAGAUUAGCCUGCGUCCGAUUAGCUAGUUGGUAGGGUAAAGGACUACCAAGGCGACGAUCGGUAGCUGGUCUGAGAGGAUGAUCAGCCACACUGGAACUGAGAGACGGUCCAGACUCCUACGGGAGGCAGCAGUGGGGAAUAUUGGACAAUGGGGGGAACCCUGAUCCAGCAAUGCCGCGUGUGUGAAGAAGGCCUGAGGGUUGUAAAGCACUUUCAGUGGGGAGGAGGUUUGGAAGGUUAAGAGCUAUUCAAAUGGACGUUACCCACAGAAGAAGCACCGGCUAACUCCGUGCCAGCAGCCGCGGUAA
rnacentral:rRNA from 1 species